rnacentral:rRNA from 1 species
ACUCCUACGGGAGGCAGCAGUGGGGAAUAUUGGACAAUGGGCGCAAGCCUGAUCCAGCAAUGCCGCGUGUGUGAAGAAGGCCUGCGGGUUGUAAAGCACUUUUGUUCGGGAAGAAGGCACGUUGGUUAAUACCCGACGUGGAUGACGGUACCGAAAGAAUAAGCACCGGCUAACUUCGUGCCAGCAGCCGCGGUAAUACGAAGGGUGCAAGCGUUAAUCGGAAUUACUGGGCGUAAAGCGUGCGUAGGCGGCUUUUUAAGUCGGAUGUGAAAUCCCCGGGCUCAACCUGGGAAUGGCAUCCGAUACUGGGGAGCUGGAGUUUGGGAGAGGGUGGUGGAAUUCCCGGUGUAGCGGUGAAAUGCGUAGAGAUCGGGAGGAACAUCAGUGGCGAAGGCGGCCACCUGGCCUAAAACUGACGCUGAGGCACGAAAGCGUGGGGAGCAAACAGGAUUAGAUACCCUGGUAGUC